GGUGUCAUUGGUUAUUCGCAGUGAGACUAUUGAGCUUGACUGCACAUUCUUUUGGUCCCUAGUCAUUUGGGUCCUUGCUGUGUAUGUUGGCUUCAGUAGGUUCAGGUUCGCUGUUUGGAGUAGGAUGCACUUAGAUGAGAUCUAUCGAUCUUGAUAGAAAAGGAGAAGUUCUAUGUAAUUUGUGAGACUGAGUUCAGAAAA
rnacentral:lncRNA from 1 species